rnacentral:tRNA from 1 species
GGAUGGGUGGCCGAGUGGUUGAAGGCGCACGCCUGGAAAGCGUGUGGGCAUGAAAGUGUCUCGCGAGUUCGAAUCUCGCCCCAUCCG